UACGAAGGGGGCUAGCGUUGUUCGGAAUUACUGGGCGUAAAGCGCGCGCAGGCGGUCUUCCAAGUCAGUGGUGAAAGCCCGGAGCUCAACUCCGGAACUGCCAUUGAAACUGUUAGACUUGAGGAUGAGAGAGGUGAGUGGAAUUCCCAGUGUAGAGGUGAAAUUCGUAGAUAUUGGGAAGAACACCGGUGGCGAAGGCGGCGACCUGGUCCGAUACUGACGCUGAGGCGCGAAAGCGUGGGGAGCAAACAGG
rnacentral:rRNA from 1 species